rnacentral:rRNA from 1 species
GACGAACGCUGGCGGCGUGCUUAACACAUGCAAGUCGAACGGAAAGGCCCUGCUUUUGUGGGGUGCUCGAGUGGCGAACGGGUGAGUAACACGUGAGUAACCUGCCCUUGACUUUGGGAUAACUUCAGGAAACUGGGGCUAUUACCGGAUAGGAGCUCCUGCUGCAUGGUGGGGGUUGGAAAGUUUCGGCGGUUGGGGAUGGACUCGCGGCUUAUCAGCUUGUUGGUGGGGUAGUGGCUUACCAAGGCUUUGACGGGUAGCCGGCCUGAGAGGGUGACCGGCCACAUUGGGACUGAGAUACGGCCCAGACUCCUACGGGAGGCAGCAGUGGGGAAUAUUGCGCAAUGGGCGGAAGCCUGAUGCAGCAACGCCGCGUGCGGGAUGACGGCCUUCGGGUUGUAAACCGCUUUCGCCUGUGACGAAGCGUGAGUGACGGUAAUGGGUAAAGAAGCACCGGCUAACUACGUG